rnacentral:ncRNA from 1 species
UCUUAUCAAGAGCGGCUGAGGGAACAGGACCGAAGAUGCCCGGCAACCUGUCCGAACAAAAUCCGGACAAGGUGCUACUUCCUGCAUGAUAUUCACGUUUGA